CCAUAGGGCGUUUGCUGCCACGUGUCACCAUAACUAACUAUAGUUUCGUUUGGGCUUUUAUUUACAUUUCAGGCCCAGAAUUGAUAUUGGUUUGUUCGUCCUUUUGCUUUGGAGUUUCGACCUUGUGCUGGCCGACGAAAGUUUCCGUAUUUUGAUUCGUAUGGAACUUAAGUAUUAGAUUGAUACCUCCCCGAUUUAGAUUCUUUAAAGAUUUUGUCGCCGUUGUUGACGAAAAAGCAAGCGCAUCGACGGUUCAGAAGGGGAGGCGUAGAGCUGCUAUUUAUUGAAGAAAAGAUUGUCAAUCCACAUCUGCUGUCUCAGAGCGUUGAGAAUCCGAUCUAAGCUGCUGCACAGUUAGUUUAGUACCAAUUAUGGAAGUGAACUUGGGAAGAUUUGCUGAAUGAAAAGACUGUUUUUUUUUUCUAUGCUUCUGGCUAUAGUUUUUAUUUGUCGCCUUAAAUUGAGCUUAGUUUGGAAUAGAAAACUAGGAUUCUAUGAUGCCAUGUUCUUGUGUUACAAAAAAAAUAUAACAAAAUAAAAGAAGCUUUUUGUUCUUUUAGUCAUUGCUGAGUCUGAGUUUGACUUUAGCUUUUAUUGGAUAAGAGUUUGUCAAAUGAAGCUGGUGAAUGCAGUUUAUGUAUUGAAUAUUACAAAAGUGUAUGAUGAUUUUGAGAAAGAAUCAUUCUUGCAGGAAGACAUGGCAUCUUCAGUGCCUUCGUUAUGAGAUAAAUGAAUCAUUUUUUUGUUUUGACUCUUUUGCUACAUUCCCGUGCUUGUCUAUUAAGUACAAUAACUGUUGUGUAGCCACGGGAUAUCAUAGCUCCUAAUGGAGUGAGGUUGGUGCUAUGAAAAUGCAAGUGGAAGCUAAACAUAAAAAGAGAGUCCAGGCCAGAUUCUUGAGUCUAAAGGUAAUUAUGCAUUGCUUAUCUUUACAUGUCUGCUAGAUUUUUGCUUUCCAUUCCCUUAAAGAUUAGGUAAAGCGAAUGUUAUAUGUUGGCUUUAGUGGCUGAAACUCCAAUAUGCCUUUUAUGAUUAUUUUCCUAUCAGCUGAAAUAUAUUUCAGUUUAUCUUCAUUCUUUCAUGUUCUUCAGAUUGUUCAGGAUUUGGUUUUGAUUGUGUGUUUGUCUACUUAGGCUGUUGCUUUUAAAAUGGUUUUCGUAUAUAUUGAUUCUGGGUUUGAUAUCCUUAUUAUCCUACCGUGCCGAACAAGGAGAGGAGUGUUAAUUGCAGUGAAAAGCCAGAAGAGAGGGAUACCCAGUUAAGAAUUUAAAAGUCUGUAGAAAAGAGGACGACAAUGGUGGGAAAUGUCAUCAUGAGAGCUUUGUGGAGCAAACUUCUAAUAGGUCAAACGGAGGUGCAUCAUGAGCAGCAGUAGAGUUUGGACAACUUCUGACGUGGGAACUUAAACGGGAAAUUCAUAUGAUGAUGAUAACGGUGUGGGGAUGAUUGGAAAACUCUUACUGAUGUAGUAACAGCUGAGGAAGAGAAUAGAAAAAGAUGAUCUCCUCCAUGAGUACGUCAAGGAGCAAUAGAGUUUGGACAACUUCUGAUGUGGGUGAUUCCAAUCUUGACGCAACAUAUAUUGUCGGUGUUAGAGAUAGAAAGCAUGAUUGUUAGAAUACCAUCAAAGAAGGAAAAAGCAGUUGACGAAAUUCUCCAGCAAUCGAUGCCAUUAUUAAGUGCCUCGACAACCAUUAUUUACAGCUUCAGUUAUAAGUGUUUACCGCUUUGCGUUAGAUUUUGAUUUACACGUCUGUCUUUUUGCAUGCAAGUGACCUGUCAAAAAAUAUGAUCUAUAGAUGAUGCACACAGUAAAUAAUUCUAAACAAUAAAAAUAUCACAAUUUUUUGGAA